UCAUGAAGUAGAAUAAUCCUUACCUGUUCGUCUAUUCAGAGGGCAGAUAGAACAUGAUGACUGGAGUUUGCAUGAUUUGUGAUUAUAUCUCUGUGUGAUCAGGUCUCAUAAUGCCUUAAUUACUCCUGAU